rnacentral:rRNA from 1 species
GACAGAGGGGGCAAGCGUUGCUCGGAAUUACUGGGCGUAAAGGGCUCGUAGGCGGCCAACUAAGUCGGACGUGAAAUCCCCAGGCUCAACCUGGGAACUGCGUCCGAUACUGGAUGGCUUGAAUUCGGGAGAGGGAUGCAGAAUUCCAGGUGUAGCGGUGAAAUGCGUAGAUAUCUGGAGGAAUACCGGUGGCGAAGGCGGCAUCCUGGACCGACAUUGACGCUGAGGAGCGAAAGCUAGGGGAGCAAACGGG